CAUGACUAAAAGUAUAAGCAAUUAUACAGCGAAACUGCGAAUGGCUCAUUAAAUCAGUUAUCGUUUAUUUGAUAGUACCUUACUACUUGGAUACCUGUGGUAAUUCUAGAGCUAAUACAUGCGUAAAGCCCCGACCUCUGAAGGGGUGUAUUUAUUAGAUAAAAAACCAAUGCCCUCUGGGCUUUGUGGUGAUUCAUAAUAACUAAACGAAUCGCAUGGCCUUGCGCCGGCGAUGGUUCAUUCAAAUUUCUGCCCUAUCAACUUUCGAUUGGUGAGUAGUGUUCACCAAUGGUUUCGACGGGUAACGAAGAAUUAGGGUUCGACCCCGGAGAGGAAGCCUGAGAAACGGCGUACACAUCCAAGGAAGGCAGCAGGCGCGCAAAUUACCCAAUCCCGAUUCGGGGAGGUAGUGACAAUAAAUACUGAUGCAGGGCUCUUUCGGGUCUUGUAAUUGGAAUGAGUACAAUUUAAAUCCCUUAACGAGGAACAAUUGGAGGGCAAGUCUGGUGCCAGCAGCCGCGGUAAUUCCAGCUCCAAUAGCGUAUAUUAAAGUUGUUGCAGUUAAAAAGCUCGUAGUUGAACCUUGGGCCUGGCUGGCCGGUCCGCCUCACCGCGUGUACUGGACUGGCCGGGCCUUUCCUUCUGGGGAAGCCCAUGGCCUUUAUUGGCUGUGUGGGGGAACCAGGACUUUUACUUUGAAAAAAUUAGAGUGUUCAAAGCAGGCCUUUGCUCGAAUACAUUAGCAUGGAAUAAUAGAAUAGGACGUGCUUUCCUAUUUUGUUGGUUUCUAGGAGAGCCGUAAUGAUUAAUAGGGACAGUCGGGGGCAUCAGUAUUCAAUUGUCAGAGGUGAAAUUCUUGGAUUUAUUGAAGACUAACUACUGCGAAAGCAUUUGCCAAGGAUGUUUUCAUUAAUCAGUGAACGAAAGUUAGGGGAUCGAAGACGAUCAGAUACCGUCGUAGUCUUAACCAUAAACUAUGCCGACUAGGGAUCGGUGGAUGUUACUUUUUAUGACUCCAUCGGCACCUUACGAGAAAUCAAAGUUUUUGGGUUCUGGGGGAGUAUGUG
rnacentral:rRNA from 1 species